UACAGAGGUCCCAAGCGUUGUUCGGAUUCAUUGGGCGUAAAGGGUGCGUAGGCGGCGCGGUAAGUCGGGUGUGAAAUCUCGGAGCUUAACUCCGAAACUGCAUUCGAUACUGCCGUGCUUGAGGACUGGAGAGGAGACUGGAAUUUACGGUGUAGCGGUGAAAAUGCGUAGAUAUCGUAAGGAAGACCAGUGGCGAAGGCGGGUCGUCGUGGGCAUCUCCUGACGCUGAGGCGCGAAAGCGUGGGGAGCGAACAGG
rnacentral:rRNA from 1 species